rnacentral:rRNA from 1 species
CAGUAGCCGCGGUAAUACGUAGGUGGCGAGCGUUGUCCGGAAUUAUUGGGCGUAAAGGGAGCGCAGGCGGACAUAUAAGUCCAUCUUAAAAGUGCGGGGCUCAACCCCGUGAGGGGAUGGAAACUGUAUGCCUUGAGUGCAGGAGAGGAAAGCGGAAUUCCCAGUGUAGCGGUGAAAUGCGUAGAUAUUAGGAAGAACACCAGUGGCGAAGGCGGCUUUCUGGACUGUAACUGACGCUGAGGCUCGAAAGCCAGGGGAGCGAACGGGAUUAGAGACCCCAGUAGUCCCUGUCUCUUAUACC